rnacentral:rRNA from 1 species
UACGAAGGGGGCUAGCGUUGCUCGGAAUCACUGGGCGUAAAGCGCACGUAGGCGGCUUUCUAAGUCAGGGGUGAAAUCCUGGAGCUCAACUCCAGAACUGCCUUUGAUACUGGGGAGCUCGAGUCCGGAAGAGGUGAGUGGAACUCCGAGUGUAGAGGUGAAAUUCGUAGAUAUUCGGAAGAACACCAGUGGCGAAGGCGGCUCACUGGUCCGGUACUGACGCUGAGGUGCGAAAGCCAGGGGAGCGAACGGG